rnacentral:rRNA from 1 species
GAUGUAACAUACCACUUGCUAGGAGUAGUGCGGAUCAGCCCGCUCCCGGUAAAACGGGACGGCCCGCCAGAGGACCCCUAAACUCUGUUUCUAUAUGUAACUUCUGAGUAAAACCAUAAAUAAAUCAAAACUUUCAACAACGGAUCUCUUGGUUCUGGCAUCGAUGAAGAACGCAGCAAAAUGCGAUAAGUAAUGUGAAUUGCAGAAUUCAGUGAAUCAUCGAAUCUUUGAACGCACAUUGCGCCCGCCAGUAUUCUGGCGGGCAUGCCUGUUCGAGCGUCAUUUCAACCCUCAAGCACAGCUUGGUGUUGGGACUCGCGUUAAUUCGCGUUCCUCAAAUUGAUUGGCGGUCACGUCGAGCUUCCAUAGCGUAGUAGUAAAACCCUCGUUACUGGUAAUCGUCGCGGCCACGCCGUUAAACCCCAACUUCUGAAUGUUGACCUCGGAUCAGGUAGGAAUACCCGCUGAACUUAAGCAUAUCAAUAAGC